ACUUGAAUAGCUUAUAAGUAGAGCAUGGUAUUGAAGAUACCAAGGAAAUAUAAUUAUUUUCAAGUA
rnacentral:tRNA from 1 species